GGCUAUUUGAGUGCUUCGCUGAGGAGGGCUUUUCUCGGCUGUAAAUAGGCCGGGGAAUAAGGGGAGGGCAAGUCUGGUGUCAGCCGCCGCGGUAAUACCAGCUCCUCGAGUGGUCGGGACGAUUAUGGGCCUAAAGCACCCGUAGCCGGUUCAGCAAGUCCUCUGUUAAAUCCAAUCGCUCAACGGUUGGCACGCAGAGGAUACUGCCGGACUAGGAGGCGGGAGAGGCGGACGGUACUCCGCGUGUAGGGGUAAAAUCCUUUGAUCCGCGGAAGACCACCAGUGGCGAAGGCGGUCCGCCAGAACGCGCUCGACGGUGAGGGGUGAAAGCUGGGGGAGCGAACCGGAUUAGAUACCCGGGUAGUCCCAGCCGUAAACGAUGCGAGCUAGAUGAUUCAAUCGCAAUUCGCGAUCGAAGUGUCGCAGGGGAGCCGUUAAGCUCGCCGCCUGGGGAGUACGGUCGCAAGGCUGAAUUGUCGGUGAUAUGCAUCGCCGGCACAGUUCACUUAAAGGAAUUGGCGGGGGAGCACCACAAGGGGUGAAGCCUGCGGUUCAAUUGGAGUCAACGCCAGGAAACUUACCAGGAGCGACAGCAGGAUGAGGGUCAGGCUGAAGACUUUACCUGACGAGCUGAGAGGAGGUGCAUGGCCGUCGCCAGCUCGUGCCGUGAGGCGUCCUGUUAAGUCAGGCAACGAGCGAGACCCUUGCCGAUAAUUGCUAGCCGCGGUCGCAAUACCGCGGAAGCUAGUUAUUGGGACUGCCGCUGCUAAAGCGGAGGAAGGAGAGGGCUACGGCAGGUCAGUAUGCCCCGAAACUCCUGGGCCACACGCGGGCUGCAUGGUAGGGACAUAAGUUCCAACCUCGAAAGAGGAAGGCAAUCUUCAACCCUACCCCAGUUGUGAUUGAGGGCUGAAACCCGCCCCUCAUGAAUAUGAAUCCCUAGUACCGCGUCAUCCCGCCGAUGU
rnacentral:rRNA from 1 species